AACGAACGCUGGCGGCAGGCUUAACACAUGCAAGUCGAGCGCCCCGCAAGGGGAGCGGCAGACGGGUGAGUAACGCGUGGGAACGUACCCUUUGCUACGGAAUAGCUCCGGGAAACUGGAAUUAAUACCGUAUGUGCCCUACGGGGGGAAAGAUUGAUCGGCAAAGGAUCGGCCCGCGUUGGAUUAGCUAGUCGGUGGGGUAAUGGCUUACCAAGGCGACGAUCCUAAGCUGGUCUGAGAGGAUGAUCAGCCACAUUGGGACUGAGACACGGCCCAAACUCCUACGGGAGGCAGCAGUGGGGAAUAUUGGACAAUGGGCGCAAGCCUGAUCCAGCCAUGCCGCGUGAGUGAUGAAGGCCUUAGGGUUGUAAAGCUCUUUCACCGGAGAAGAUAAUGACAGUAUCCGGAGAAGAAGCCCCGGCUAACUUCGUGCCAGCAGCCGCGGUAAUAC
rnacentral:rRNA from 1 species